UACGUAGGGUGCGAGCGUUGUCCGGAAUUAUUGGGCGUAAAGAGCUUGUAGGCGGUUUGUCGCGUCUGCUGUGAAAAUCCGGGGCUCAACUCCGGACUUGCAGUGGGUACGGGCAGACUAGAGUGUGGUAGGGGAGACUGGAAUUCCUGGUGUAGCGGUGAAAUGCGCAGAUAUCAGGAGGAACACCGAUGGCGAAGGCAGGUCUCUGGGCCACUACUGACGCUGAGAAGCGAAAGCAUGGGGAGCGAACAGG
rnacentral:rRNA from 1 species